GAUAAUAUUAUUUUAUUAUUUUUUAAAGUUUACUUAUAAUUAAAAAAAGAAAUUAUUAUUUUAUUAAUUUUUAAGAAAAAAUAAUUUAUAAUUAUAGAUUAUAGUAUUGUAAAAGAAUUAUAUUAUUAAAUUUAAAGAAAAAUUUAAUUUUUGUACCUUGUGCAUCAGGGUUGAUUAAAAAAUAAUUAAAUAUUUAAUAUUCUCGAAUUUAAAAGAGCUAAUUAAUUAUAAAUUUUAUUGUAAAAUAAAUAUUUAAAAUUUUUAAUUAGAAAUGAAACGUUAUUCGUUUUUAAAUUUAUCUAGUUUUUAAAUAAAUAAAUUUAAUUUAGUUAUUUUAAGUUAAAAAUUUAAUUUUUUAAUUUUUUAUUUAAAAUAAGUAAUUUUUUUAGGGAUUAGCUUAAAAAAAUAUUAUUAUAAUAAUUUAAAAUUUAAAUAAAUUAUAGGAUUAUAAUUUUCUAUUAAUAAUAAAAUGUUAUAAUUAAUUAUUUUUUUUAUAUUAUUUUUAUUUUAUUUAAAUAUUAUAUUUAAAUAUAAAUUUUAAUUUUAAAAAUUUAGAAAUAAUGAUUAAAUUAGUAUAAAUUAAUGUAUAAUUAAAUUUUAUUUUAAGGUUAAUUUAAGGAAUUCGGCAAAUUUAUUUUUCACCUGUUUAUUAAAAACAUGGCCUUUUGAUUAUAAUUUAAGGUCUAAUCUGCCCACUGAAAUUUUAAAUGGCCGCGGUAUAUUGACCGUGCAAAGGUAGCAUAAUAAUUAGUUUCUUAAUUAGAAGCUGGAAUGAAAGAUUGAAUGAGAAAAUAACUGUCUCAAAUUAAAUUUUUUAGAAUUUUAUUUUUAAGUUAAAAAGCUUAAAUAUUUUUAAAAGACGAGAAGACCCUAUAGAGUUUUAUUUAAUAAUUUUUUAAAAAAAUAUAAAUUUUAAUAUUUUUUAAGUUAUUAUUAAAUUUUGUUGGGGAGAUAGAAAAAUUAAAUUAACUUUUUUUAUAU
rnacentral:rRNA from 1 species